UCCUCAUUUAAAUGAGGCAGUCCGUCCAGAGUGCUUCGAACUCUCGUUCGAGUGGCAACAGGACGCAAGGGUUGCGCUCGUUGCGGGACUUAACCCAACAUCUCACGACACGAGCUGACGACAGCCAUGCAGCACCUGUGUAGGCUGGUAUUGCUACCUCGUUCCGCUUUCACGGUUCUACUACCUACAUGUCAAGGCCAGGUAAGGUUCUUCGCGUUGCAUCGAAUUGAGCCACAUACUCCACCGCUUGUGCAGGCCCCCGUCAAUUUCUUUGAGUUUUAAUCUUGCGACCGUACUUCCCAGGCGGCGCAUUUAACGCGUUAGCUUCGCCACAAAAGGGGUCGAUUCCUCUUACAGCAAAUGCGCACCGUUUACGGCUAGGACUAC
rnacentral:misc_RNA from 1 species